AUUGAUAUUAUUCCCAGUACACGACGAACGGCUAUUUUUGAAACGGGAACUGUGUCAAAGUCACACGUGUCGCACCUAUCUCAGUGUCGAAGCUCCGUGGCUCACCCAUCGUGGAGCUGGAAUACAGUUUUCCGCUGUCAUUUGCGCUAUUUCCAGCUUGGGUGCUAAUUAAAUGCUUGAAUAUAAACUACACAAGCGUUUACGGACCAUUGCUCAUAUGCCAGAUUGUUCAGGGAACAGUAGCUCUAGUUUAACUGGGCGAAACGAACACCUGUUGCGAUCAAUUACUGUUUCCCAGGCGUGAUGUUUUACGAGUCCAUAUAUUACACUGGAAUGAAUUUUAAUGAAAGUUUAAAUGCAAAUCGAAGGGGCGUUGAUUGAUCCGCACUGAUCACAGUGAUUGAUUAACUGCCUUCGGUAUAAGUCGUUAGAGAGAUAGUUGAUGAUUGUUCCAAUUCGCUGACACUCGAUUAGAUCAUUAACGCAUGAGACAGGGAUCCGGUUGGGGUGGUAGAAGUAUGUGUCACUGGAGUAGCGUGUAUUUGGUUCAUGGUUAAAGAAAGUUAUUCGCUGCAUGUUUGUUUUUAAACAAUCGUUUAACUUAUUACCUGCAACUUGGAUUUGUUCCGCAAAUUAUUUGUGAAAUUACUACUGCCCAACUACCCAACAAGUGAUUUUUCAUAAAUAGCGUUUGCUCUCGUUGAACAGCUCAAGUCCAAAUUUGUUGUUGACCCGUUAUCAUGAAGCAAGUAACGCUUAUCCUACUCGUUGUUGCCCUAGUUGGCAUACAUAUCUUGGCUGUGGAGAGUUCAGAACAAAACGUUCGCAAUAACCGUUCACCAGGAGACCAAACCCCUGAUGCUUCUUCGAUGGAUAAUCUGCUCAAUUCUAUGUUCAGAGUCCGACGUCAGAGCUUCGGUGGAACUAUGAACUACGAUUUGAACUUGGAAAAGUUUAUAAACCUAAUGAAGGGUUUGAUGGAUAAUGGUGGUGGAAAGCAAAAUUGAAGUUCGAGAUGAAUUAAAUAAAUAUUAUACGCUUAGUACCAAU